rnacentral:ncRNA from 1 species
UAUAGAGAAAAGCAAAACAAGUGAAAGUUUGUGACGCAACACUAUAGGGUCUAAGUCGUUUGGUUUAUGAUAAGACAGCCAGUUACCACA